rnacentral:rRNA from 1 species
GACGAACGCUGGCGGCGUGCCUAAUACAUGCAAGUAGAACGCACAGUUUAUACCGUAGCUUGCUACACCAUAGACUGUGAGUUGCGAACGGUUGAGUAACGCGUAGGUAACCUGCCUUGUAGCGGGGGCUAACUAUUGUAAACGAUAGCUAAUACCGCAUAAUAUUAAUUAUUGCAUGAUAAUUAAUUGAAAGGUGCACUUGCACCACUACCAGAUGGACCUGCGUUGUAUUAGCUAGUAGGUGAGGUAACGGAUCACCUAGGCGACGAUACAUAGCCGACCUGAGAGGGUGGUCGGACACACAGGGACUGAGACAGGGACGAGACUCCUACGGGAGGCAGCAGGAGGGAAGCUUCGGCAAUGGACGAAAGUCUGACCGAGCAACGCCGCGUGAGUGAAGAAGGUUUUCGGAUGGUAAAGCUAUGUUGUAAGAGAAGAACGGGUGUGAGAGUGGAAAGUUCACACGGUGACGGUAUCUUACCAGAAAGGGACGGCUAACUACGUG